GGACAGUGGAAGCCUCCAGCUCCCUGCUCACUAACAGCUUUCCCGAGCGUGGGACUUGGGAAGGCUGUCCUAAAAAUCCAAGUUCUGGCCAAAGCUAAGUAUUGUGCUUUUUGAAAAUCUAUUUUAAUUUGACUACGAUUCAACCUGGAUCUUUUAGUCUUCACCU